rnacentral:lncRNA from 1 species
CUUGAUAGGUAGAGAUAACUUAUGUAAUUGUAGAAAGUAACAUAUUCUCUGAACAGUGCGAAGCGUAAAAGCAAAGCCUCGUGACUGCCUGUCUCUCGCUUUACCAGGACUUUCUGAAGACCUUUUCCCCCGAUGUCUUCCGGUUCUUCUGCCUGCGGAGCAGCUACCGCUCAGCCAUCGACUACAGUGACAGCGCCAUGCUCCAAGCUCAGCAGCUGCUCCUGGGGCUGGGCUCUUUCCUGGAGGACGCACGUGCCUACAUGAAGGGGCAGCUGGCCUGCGGCUCCGUCAGGGAAGCGAUGCUGUGGGAGAGGUAAGAGGCCCGCCUAGCACCCGGCGUGGCACCCCUCCUGUGGCCUGCUGGGUGCUGCUGGUGGGCUCUUGAAGGGGAAGAGGGGCCCCCAGGAGACAGGGCGCUGGACAGGAGGUUUGGGGUCAGGGACUGCCCAGAGAGGCCCCAGGAGACAGGGUGCUGGGCAGGAGGUGCAGGUGUGGGGUCAGGGGCUCCCCAGAGGCCACAGGGGACUGGGAGCUGGACAGGAGGUGUGGGGUC